UACGAAGGGGGCUAGCGUUGUUCGGAUUUACUGGGCGUAAAGCGCGUGUAGGCGGGUCGUUAAGUUGGGGGUGAAAUCCCGAGGCUCAACCUCGGAACUGCCUCCAAAACUGGCGACCUGGACCCAAGAAGAGGCGAGUGGAAUUCUGAGUGUAGAGGUGAAAUUCGUAGAUAUUCGGAGGAACACCAGUGGCGAAGGCGACUCGCUGGUCUUGUGGUGACGCUGAGACGCGAAAGCGUGGGGAGCAAACAGG
rnacentral:rRNA from 1 species